GUAAUCAGAUGAAGACUUAACUUUAUUGCUACUCCCCUGCAGAAUGAUCUGCCUGAUGAUAAGGACAACAAGCAACCCGAUCAGAAAGCCCUCAUAACUGCAGUUUUUUAUACUUGAAAGGAAUAUUCAAACAUUACUGAACUUGAGUGAGAUGCAGA